rnacentral:snRNA from 1 species
AGAGCUUCUCUGCCUUUUGGCUAAGANCAAGUAUACUAUCUGUUAACCACUGAAGAGCUGGUGUGAACUGUGACUGAAGACAAUGUAUUGAAUGGAUUGUUUGGAACANGGAGAUGGCCUAGGAGCUUGAUCUGUUCACUAUGUAUGUUAAUCUGGCAUUGCAGUAUCUGCAGGAACCGUGCAGCCCUG